rnacentral:tRNA from 1 species
GGUCUCGUGGUGUAGUGGUUAUCACAUCUGCCUAACACACAGAAGGUCGGUGGUUCGAGCCCGCCCGAGAUCA